rnacentral:rRNA from 1 species
GUGAGGAAUAUUGGUCAAUGGACGAGAGUCUGAACCAGCCAAGUCGCGUGAAGGAAGUCGGUUCUAUGAAUUGUAAACUUCUUUUGUGCAGGAAUAAAGUGGGUUACGUGUAACCUUUUGUAUGUACUGUACGAAUAAGGAUCGGCUAACUCCGUGCCAGCAGCCGCGGUAAUACGGAGGAUCCGAGCGUUAUCCGGAUUUAUUGGUUUCAACGGGUGCGUAGGUGGAUUGAUAAGUCAGCUGUGAAAGUUUGCAGCUUAACUGUAAAAUUGCCGUUGUAACUGUCGGUCUUGAGUGCAAAUGGGGUAGGCGGAAUGUGUUGUGUAGCAGUGAAAUGCUUAGAUAUAACACAGAACUCCGAUUGCGAAGGCAGCUUACUGGGAUGCAACUGACACUGAUGCACGAAAGCGUGGGUAUCAAACAGGAUUAGUAACCCCUGUAGUCC